UGAUGGUAUCUUAAGGCACACAUGUAAUUAAGAUUAAAGAUUUAUCGGUGUACGAUGGGGAUGCGUUCCAUUAGGUAGUAGGCGGGGUAACGGCCCACCUAGCCUACGAUGGAUAGGGGUUCUGGAGAGGAAGGUCCCCCACAUUGGAACUGAGACACGGUCCAAACUCCUACGGGAGGCAGCAGUGAGGAAUAUUGGUCAAUGGACGAGAGUCUGAACCAGCCAAGUAGCGUGAAGGAUGAAGGUCCUACGGAUUGUAAACUUCUUUUAUAAGGGAAUAAAACCUCCCACGUGUGGGAGCUUGUAUGUACCUUAUGAAUAAGCAUCGGCUAACUCCGUG
rnacentral:rRNA from 1 species